GUACUCACUUCAGCAGCACAUAUACUAAAAUUGGAACUAUACAGAGAUUAGCAUGGCCCCUGCUCAAGGAUGACACUCAAAAAGUAACUUUUGUACCUAUUUCAU